rnacentral:rRNA from 1 species
CGCACGGGUGAGUAACGCGUAUACAAUUUACCUUUUACAGGAGAAUAGCCCAGAGAAAUUUGGAUUAAUGCUCCAUGGUAUUAUUUGGCCACCUGGUCAGAUGAUUAAAGCUUCGGCGGUAGAAGAUGAGUAUGCGUCCUAUUAACUAGAUGGUAAGGUAACGGCUUACCAUGGUGACGAUAGGUAGGGGUCCUGAGAGGGAGAUCCCCCACACUGGUACUGAGACACGGACCAGACUCCUACGGGAGGCAGCAGUGAGGAAUAUUGGGCAAUGGAGGCAACUCUGACCCAGCCAUGCCGCGUGCAGGAAGACGGCCCUAUGGGUUGUAAACUGCUUUUAUAUGGGAAGAAACUUAUCCACGUGUGGAUAACUGACGGUACCAUAAGAAUAAGCACCGGCUAACUCCGUGCCAGCAGCCGCGGUGAUACGGAGGGUGCAAGCGUUAUCCGGAAUCAUUGGGUUUAAAGGGUCCGUAGGCGGGCAAUUAAGUCAGAGGUGGAAUCCCACAGCUCAACUGUGGAACUGCCUUUGAUACUGGUUGUCUUGAGUUAUAGUGAAGUAGAUAGAAUAUGUAGUGUAGCGGGUGAAAUGCUUAGAUAUUACAUAGAAUACCGAUUGCGAAGGCAGUCUACUAACUAUACACUGACGCUAAUGGACGAAAGCGUGGGGAGCGAACAGGAUUAGAUACCC